CCGAGACCUACGAACGGUGGCGUUGGUGGCUUAGUCAACGCCUCCUCCGCCGCCACCGCCAUCGCUGAUAAGAGGGCCUGGGAUCGCCGCCCCCGCUGCCUCGCGCCCCCGACUCACGCCGAGCCCCGAUUACUCAUAACCUGCAAGUACUGUGGAGGCGUCGGCCGGUGAGGGAGAGGAAGUCAGCCCCGCCAGGAGCGCGUGCGACUGCGACGGAGAGACGUGCGGAGGCGGCCCUUACUUCGCGUGUGGCAUUACUGGGGUGCCCAGCGAGCCCGCCCAUCUGGCCCACCGCGGGAAACACUGGGACGUGGGAGUGUCUCCGCUCUAGAGAAAACCCUCCUCUCCCUCUUUCUCUGUCUCCCUCUCUCUCUCCCUCUCUCUCUCUCUCUCUCUCUCUCUUACUCUGGCGGUGACGAGGGGGAGGCUGCGACCACAUUUUACGUCCCUCUACUCCGGGCUCCGUGGUGCUGCGGCAGUGUUCCCUGCAGAGUGCGAAGUGUUCAGUGAGAAAUAGAAGCUUGCAGGAAAAGUGUAUUUUUUUUGUGGCUUGAUCUAUCCCCUUUUCGGUCCUGUCUCGAGUGAUCGUCGUCAUCGAUAAGACGAGCGAAAUAGUGGUGUUGGAGUGGUAAAAAAAAAAAAAAAAUCUGUGUCGCAGGCUACCGUCCUCGUAGGCCUGCCUGCUUGUCCUAUCCCCGAGGAGGUCCAGAGGGGGAUCUAGAGCCACCAGGAAGUACUGCCGGAGGAACCACCAUGGCUUGGGUCAGAGGACUCUGAGGUGACAGCUUGGGGGGAGAGAGAGAGUGUCACGAUGCCCGUGCAGAAGUUCCGGGCGCGUAUGAAGAGGCAGAAGUACGACCCUGAAACGGAUCCUGACAUGAUUGACGAGUACGGCGAGUAUUUUGCGAAAGCAGCCGACGAGGAGCAGGACGAAGGGAGUGAAGAGCCUAUAAACUAUGCGGAACCUAUAAACUAUGGACAGUUUUCUAUAGCUCAAGGAGUCCGUGCAGGUGGUGAAGUUGGGGCGUCGGUGGGGUCAGCCUCGGGAGGGGAGAAGCCCUUGUCCUCGGCGUGGCAGGCAGCACUAAGCGGAGCCACAUCCAUGUCGCAGGGCCAGGUAGCCGCCGCAACGGACGCCACCCCGCACGAGGGACGGAAGCGGCCGCCCCCUCGUCGGCCCGUGGGUAAACCUCCGGAGAACCGGCCCGUCCGCGCCCUCUUCUGCCUGGGCCUCAAGAAUCCUCUGAGGAAGAUCUGCAUAGACGUCGUAGAAUGGAAACCCUUCGAAUGGUUCAUCUUGUUAACCAUCUUUGCCAAUUGUGUGGCUCUGGCGGUCUACACGCCUUACCCCAAUUCAGACUCCAAUGCCACCAACGCUAAACUGGAACAAAUCGAGAUUAUCUUUAUGGUAAUAUUUACGGUAGAAUGUUUUAUGAAGAUUAUAGCCUACGGGUUCGCCCUCCACCAGGGGGCGUAUAUACGUUCAGUAUGGAACUUUCUCGAUUUUCUCAUCGUCGUCAUUGGUUUGAUAAGCGGCGCACUAGAUUUCCUCAUGCAGGGGGAGGGCGGCGAAGCAGGCUUCGACGUCAAGGCGCUCAGGGCCUUCCGAGUCCUGCGUCCUCUCAGACUUGUGUCAGGAGUCCCAAGUCUACAGGUGGUGUUGAACUCCAUCGUGAAGGCUAUGGUCCCGUUGCUCAACAUUGCUCUUCUCGUCAUGUUUGUCAUUAUCAUUUACGCUAUCAUCGGUCUGGAGCUUUUCUCCGGAGCGCUUCAUUUUACCUGCUAUAAUAAUGAAACAGGUAACCGCAUGGAGAACCCUCAUCCAUGUGACAAUGGGACGGCGGGAUUCAGCUGUUCCGAUCUCAAUAAAGACGGCCAAUUUUAUGUGUGUCGGGACGGCUGGGAAGGACCCAACUAUGGCAUUACGAACUUCGAUAAUUUUGGCCUCGCAAUGUUAACGGUGUUCCAGUGUAUAACUAUGGAGGGCUGGACGGAUAUGAUGUAUUAUAUUGCAGAUGCCAUGGGUAAUAGUUGGCAGUGGAUCUUCUUUGUAUCCAUGAUCAUCCUCGGGGCCUUCUUCGUCAUGAACCUUAUUCUUGGUGUCCUCAGCGGAGAAUUCACAAAGGAAAGAGAAAAAGCCAAAGCCCGUGGAGACUUCAGAAAACUUCGGGAAAAGCAGCAGAUUGAGGAAGACUUAAGAGGGUACUUGGAGUGGAUCACCCAUGCCGAGGACCUAGACCUGGAGGAAAAGGAGGACAAAAAGGAGUGUGACGACGGGCGCCGAUUAGUUCUGCCGGGAGCCAGCAACCGCGGAGCCAUGUCGGUGGCCUCCCCAACCUCCCUUCUGCUCUUCUUGCCCCUCUUCUCUAUGCGUAACUCCAAAACCGUAGAAGCUGACAUAGAUAAGGGUGAAGAAAAUGAUGAAAACCAACAGCCAUCUUGGUGGCAGAAAAAGAAGAAGGGCUUUGACCGCUUCGUGAAAGGGAUGGUAGGUGUCAAUCGGAGAUGCAGGCGGGCGUGCCGAAAAGCUGUAAAAUCGCAAGCAUUUUACUGGCUCAUCAUUGUUCUUGUCUUCCUCAAUACUGCAGUCCUGGCCAGUGAGCACUAUCGGCAACCUGACUGGCUUAGCAAGUUCCAAGAUUAUACCAAUCAUUUCUUCGUGGUGCUGUUUACAUGUGAAAUGUUGUUAAAGAUGUACAGUUUAGGCUUCCAAGGCUACUUUGUGUCUUUGUUCAAUCGUUUUGAUUGUUUUGUGGUGAUCAGCAGCAUCACCGAGGUAGUUCUCACAUCCACUGAGAUUAUGCCUCCACUGGGUGUCUCGGUGCUCAGAUGUGUCCGUCUACUCAGAGUAUUCAAAGUGACAAAAUAUUGGCGGUCGCUCUCCAACCUGGUUGCUUCCCUCCUAAACUCCAUCCAGUCCAUCGCCUCCCUGCUGCUCCUGCUCUUCCUCUUUAUUAUUAUCUUUGCUCUUCUGGGCAUGCAAGUCUUCGGUGGCCGCUUUAAUUUUAACCCAAUGGAGGACAAACCGCGGCAUAAUUUUGACAACUUCGUUCAGGCCAUGUUGACAGUGUUCCAGAUCCUGACAGGUGAGGAUUGGAACGUCGUGAUGUAUGACGGUAUUCGUGCCUAUGGUGGAGUGGCCACUCCUGGUAUCAUCGCCUGUUUCUACUUCAUCAUUCUUUUCAUCUGUGGUAACUACAUCUUGCUCAAUGUCUUCUUGGCUAUCGCUGUCGACAACUUGGCUGAUGCUGAUGCUCUUGGUGAUGCUGAAGAGGAAGAAGGCAAAGAAGGAGAGGAAGGUGAAGGUGGAGGCGGUGAAGAAGGUGAAAAGAUAGAGGAAGAAGGAAUUGAAGGUGAAGAAAAGACAGCAUUAAAUCACAUAGCUUUGAGGGAUGGUGAUGCUGCCAGUCAUGCAAAAGUACAGAUAGAGCAUGACCAAAUACCAGAAGAAGGAAAAUAUGAUGAUUAUGAAAAUGAAGCUGAAAUGGAAGAAGAGGAGGAAGAAGUGGAAGAGGAGAGCGAGGAACAUCCACCAGGAGCCAGACCACGGCGUGCAUCACAGCUCAGUACUGCCACCAAAAUCAAGCCAUUGCCCCCGUUCUCCAGUUUUUUUAUUUUCUCCCACACAAACAGGUUUCGAGUUUUUUGCCACAAGAUUUGCAACCACAGCCUCUUCAGCAAUGUCAUUCUGGUUUGCAUUCUCAUAUCAUCCGGCAUGUUGGCUGCUGAGGACCCUCUCCGCUCUGAUUCUCAGCGCAACGUUAUUCUGAACUACUUCGACAUCUUCUUCACAUCAGUGUUCACAGUGGAGAUUUGCCUAAAAGUUAUAUCAUAUGGCUUUAUUCUUCACAAAGGAGCCUUUCUACGCUCUGCCUUCAAUGGUUUGGACCUGUUGGUCGUGGCCGUCUCCCUCAUCUCCUUUUCCUUCAAUAAAGUCCUUCAGCCUGCGAACCGUGACCAGACGUUUCUUAGAUGCGGCAACACUGUUUACCGCCUUGAGGAGGACACGGUAUAUGUGGUUGGCAGCAAUGAUGAUGAGAGUGUUUGGAGUGACCCUAACAUAAUUGAUGUUGAGGGUCUCUCCUACUCUUGUAACAGUACAACCACAGAUGUGUCCCAGAAGUUGAAAGAAUAUUUGCUUGCCACUUGGCAACAUCUGAGAGUGAGUCCCGCACAAAAUUAUGAUCCUGUGCUCAGGGAUGGAGCUAUCUCGGUGGUCAAGAUCCUCCGUGUGCUCCGUGUGCUGAGGCCACUCAGGGCCAUCAACAGGGCCAAGGGUUUGAAGCAUGUAGUUCAGUGCGUCAUUGUGGCCAUUAAGACCAUCGGCAACAUCAUGCUGGUCACCUGUCUCCUAGAAUUCAUGUUCGCUGUAAUUGGAGUUCAGUUGUUCAAGGGCAAGUUCUUCAGUUGCAAUGAUAUUUCCAAAUCAGUCGAGGAGGAGUGUCAGGGCCAAUACAUUGUCUAUCAGGAUGGAGACAUUAACAAACCCAUGGUGGAAAAGAGAGUUUGGGAGAAGAACUCGUUCCACUUCGACAAUGUGGCCAAGGCAAUGCUGACCCUCUUCACGGUAUCUACCUUUGAGGGGUGGCCCGGGUUGCUGUAUGUUUCCAUCGACUCCAACACAGAGGAUGUGGGUCCUGUACAUAACUACCGACCUAUGGUAGCAAUCUACUAUAUCAUCUACAUCAUUAUCAUUGCCUUCUUCAUGGUUAACAUCUUCGUUGGUUUUGUUAUUGUCACCUUCCAGAGCGAGGGAGAGCAAGAGUACAAGAACUGUUGUCUAGAUAAAAAUCAGAGGAAUUGUAUAGAGUUUGCACUGAAGGCCAAGCCCGUGCGGCGUUACAUUCCCAAGAACAGAUUCCAGUACAAGAUCUGGUGGUUUGUGACAUCACAGCCAUUUGAAUACGCAAUCUUCACUUUAAUCAUGCUGAACACGGUCUCCCUCGCUAUGAAGUUCCGCGGGGAGCCAGAGGCCUACACCCAUGCCCUUGAUAUUCUCAAUCUCAUCUUCACAGCUGUCUUUGCCCUUGAGUUUGUCCUCAAGAUUAUGGCAUUCCGAUUCAAGUAUUACUUUGGCGACGCGUGGAAUGUGUUUGAUUUCAUCAUUGUGCUUGGCAGCUUCAUUGAUAUCGUCUACUCAGAGGUCAAUAAACUAGUGAGCAAUCAGGCGCAGGCAGCGGCAGAGAGCAUGGCCGCCGAAUACUACCCGGACAGAAAGCAAGAGAACCCACCGGAUUGGCCGGGCUCCAAUCUCUUCUCUAUCAACUUCUUCCGACUCUUCCGUGUGAUGCGUCUGGUGAAGUUGUUAUCAAAGGGUGAAGGCAUCAGAACGUUGCUGUGGACCUUCAUCAAGAGCUUCCAGGCACUGCCCUACGUUGCCCUCCUCAUCUUGCUGCUCUUCUUCAUUUACGGUGUUGUUGGCAUGCAGGUGUUUGGCAAAAUUGCACUGGACUGGGGCACUCAGAUCCACCGUCAUAACAACUUCCAGAGCUUCUUCCAGGCAGUAAUGGUUCUCUUCAGGUCUGCCACAGGAGAGGCAUGGCAGGAUAUCAUGUUGUCGUGCCUCCCACCUGAUGCUCGGUGUGACAUGCAGUCCGACGAUUACAGCGAUGAUAUUUCUUGUGGCUCUAAUGUGGCAUACCCAUACUUCAUUUCCUUCUACACCCUUUGCUCUUUCUUGAUCAUCAACUUGUUCGUGGCUGUCAUCAUGGAUAACUUUGACUACCUAACUCGUGAUUGGUCCAUUCUUGGCCCUCACCAUCUGGACGAGUUUAUUACUCUAUGGUCAGAGUACGACCCUGAUGCAAAGGGCAGAAUUAAGCAUCUAGACGUUGUUACACUUCUCAGAAAGAUAUCACCUCCCUUAGGCUUUGGAAAACUUUGUCCAUACAGAGUAGCAUGUAAACGUUUAGUGGCCAUGAACAUGCCGUUGAAUACAGAUGGUACAGUUAUGUUCAAUGCAACAUUAUUUGCCCUAGUAAGAACAUCUUUAAGGAUAAAAACUGAGGGCAAUAUUGAUACUGCCAAUGAGGAAUUAAGAGCAGUUAUCAAGAAAAUCUGGAAGCGUACAAAUCCUAAACUUCUAGACCAAGUCGUACCACCAGUUGGAGUUGAAGACGAUGUGACAGUUGGCAAAUUCUACGCUACCUACCUCAUCCAGGACUACUUUAGACGCUUUAAGAAGAAGAAGAUGGAGAUCAAAGAACAAAUUGAUAAGGAGUCUUCAAACACUGUCACACUUCAGGCUGGCCUGAGAACACUUCAUGAGGCUGGGCCCGAGUUGAAGCGUGCCAUCUCAGGCAACUUAGAUGAGAUGCGUGAUGAUGAUAUUCCCACGCAUAGGCGUAACCACUCCUUGUUCGGCUCGGUCUGGUCAUCUAUGAGAGUCAAAAGCCUGCAACGAACCCGGUCCCUCCGUGUCAACACCGGACACCACGCUAAAGCGGGUAAUAUCUUGCAUCCUGUAAUUCUGAAAGUCAACAACCAGAUUAUGAACAUGAUUUCUCCAACCAACUCACUCUCAUACUCUCCUGCACAUUCAAAUGAGAAAACUGCGCUUAACCACACUGCGCACCGUCCUCCAACCCCAUUGGAAAGCUCACAGUCCAUGGGGGAAGAAGAGGAGGGAAUCCCCAUGCGUCCUCUUAGGAUAAUGAACGGGGAUCCUGAGAGAAGAGCAAAUCUAGUAAUAAAGGACAAGCAAAUGCAGUAUUUGACGCCCGACUAUCAUGGUAAGAUGAGCAUUGAAAGUUGCAGCAUGGCGUGGUGGCGGCUACCUGAGAACCUGCCAGGAUAAUUUGUAACCUAGAAGGAACAGCAACAACUUAGUCCAGUGAGCCAGAGCUCUGCAUAUCACUCGACCUCUCACAGUGAGAGUAAUGGGAGCCUCCCAGGUGACCGCCACUCCCAGAGUGUCCCAAGCAGUCCCAGAAGUGUCUCCAGGCCUUAUUCUGAGGUUGUAGGCUCUGCUGAAAGUCUGGUUGGGAGGGUA
rnacentral:misc_RNA from 1 species